AUGGCGGUUACAAACACACACUGCUCUUUAAUUCUUUUCUCAUUUCAAUCUUCCACUACCGGCGGUUACAACCAACCAUCAUGGUUUCAAAUACAUUUCAACCAUCAAAUUCCAUUCAAAACGGUUUUUCCUUCAAGCAUCCCAAUAGUCACGCUUCAAGUGUUUCAACCCUCAUCCUCCCCUCAAGAUCAAAGAACUGGUGAGUCGAGGGGUUUCGCUUUUGUGCGUUACAAGUAUGCUGAUGAAGCUUCCAAAGCUGUUGAUUGGCUCAACAUCAGAAAGGAAGGGUUAUUGAAACUUAUCCGAGAUCAAAGACCUCAAGGAAUUGCAUACGAUCAAAACAAGAAAAAGUAG